rnacentral:rRNA from 1 species
GUCUAAGCCAUAGCACCCUGAGCGCCCCUAUCUCAUCUGAUCUCGGAAGCUAAGCAGGGUUGGGCCUGGUUAGUACCUGGGUGGGAGACCGCCUGGGCAUACCGGGUGCUGUAGGCU